AUUGAACGCUGGCGGCAGGCCUAACUCAUGCUAGUCGAGCGAGCGGCGGACGGGUGAGUAAUGCCUAUGAAUCUGCCUGGUAGUGGGGUAUAACGUCCGGAAACGGGCGCUAAUACCGCAUACCAUCAGAUGUGCCCAGAUGGGAUUAGAUAGUUGGUGGGGUAACGGCUCACCAACGCGACUGUCCCUAGCUGGUCUGAGAGGAUGACCAGCCACACUGGAACUGAGCCACGGUCCAGACUCCUACGGGAGGCAGCAGUGGGGAAUAUUGCACAAUGGGCGCAAGCCUGAUGCAGCCAUGCCGCGUGUAUGAAGAAGGCCUUCGGGUUGUAAAGUACUUUCAGCGGGGAGGCGUUACCCGCAGAAGAAGCACCGGCUAAAUCCGUGCCAGCAGCCGCGGUAAUAC
rnacentral:rRNA from 1 species